rnacentral:rRNA from 1 species
AGCCCGGGGAUCCGCCCACCCGCUGAAUUUAAGCAUAUCGCUAAGCGGAGGAAAAGAAACCAACCGGGAUUCCCUUAGUAACGGCGAGUGAACUGGGAGGAGCCCAACGCUGAAUCUCGUCGUCCGCAAGCAGGUCGUCGAGAGCUGUGGCGCAAGGGUCGUACACGGUCGUUCGUUUCGCCCGGCUAGGUUCGGAGUCCCCUCGAUCGGGGCUGCCCAAAGCGGGUGCCAGGCCCAUUCGGAGCCGGCGGCGAUCGACAGUGUCUCUUUCUUCGGCCCGAGAGUCGGGUUGCUUGGGAACGCAGCCCAAAGCGGGUGGUAAGCUCCAUCCAAGGCUAAAUACCGGGACGAGUCGAUAGCCGACAGUACCGAGGAAU